AAUAAUAGUAAAAACAAAACAAAUGAUCCCAGCUGAUCUCGGAAGCUAAGCAAGGUUGGGCCUGGUUAGUAUUUGGACGGGAGACCACCUAGGAAGACCAGGUGCUGUAGGUG
rnacentral:rRNA from 1 species